UGUCUUAUAGUUGAAGCAAACAAUAUUAAGUUGCAGCCUUAAAGGUAUGAUUUUCAUUAAGAUUU
rnacentral:tRNA from 1 species